rnacentral:Y_RNA from 1 species
GGCUGGUCUGAAAGUAGUGAGUUAUCUCACUGAUUGUUCACAGUCAGUUACAGAUUGAACUCCAUAUUCUACUACUUUCAACCCUUCUCACUACUGCACUUGACUAGUCUAAA